UAAUCAACAUAGUCCCCUUUGAGAUGAGCC
rnacentral:piRNA from 1 species